GGUACAUGAUAUGAGUUAUAUUUUAGUAUACAAAUAAUAAUAAACGUAUAAAAAUAAAUAAUUAUCAUAUAUUAUACGUUGUGAAUCAUGAUUAUUAUUAUUAUUAAACUUUUAUGGAUCAUGGAUAUUAUAUAUUUAAUUAUUAUCAGUUAAGAGUUAGUUAUGAAAUUGCAUACUAGUAAAAAUUGAACUAUUUAUAUACAUUGCAUAAAAUAAAUAUUUAAAUAUAUGAUUUAAUUAGAAUUGUGCUCAAAGAAAUUAAAGUAGUGUUUCUAGAAACUUUGGUACAAAUUCACGCGUUGUAUUGAUGUCCUCAUUCAGGCCUGAAGUUUCAGAUAGAGUUGAUCUGUGCAUCUCCAGUAUAUAUUGAUAUUGUUCCUUGAUGUUCCACGGCAUGGGAUUGACAUCAAUGCAUAAUCUUUGUUUUUGUGAAUUUGUAAAGGCGUCGGUUGAUAAAUGGUCUCCGCAUAAACCUGCCUUAUUUACAUAGCUUGGGGAUAAAGUUUGUAAAUCGGUGUUUCCUAAGAAUAAAAGAGUGUUAAAUUUUAAAUUGCAUUGAGCUUUAAAAAAGUCGUAAUCUAUAUUUCUUGAUACGUAAAUCUAUUUACUUGAUAAUACCUAUAGGCUGUAAAAAUAGUUUCUUGACUCACGCAGUUCUUUUUUUUUUAAUAGCAAUAUCGAAAACGUACCUGAAUAUUUUAUCCACAUCUGUUGUCGGGUAAUUUCUGAUGGAAAUCGAAAUAAUUUGCGUCCAUUAUGCACUCCAUUGUUAUAAUUAAAAAUGCACACUUCUUUUCAUCUAACUUAGCUUUGAUUUUUCGAGGUGCUAUCCUCUUUGAGUGAAUGUUCAGGAAGAAAUGACUUGCUCUAGUGGAAGACAACCUGCGAAAGCUAAGCAGAAGCACACCUGCGACACCUUGAGACCUGACAAAUGCACCUGCGCGCAUCUAUAGCACCCCUGCAAGCACUUAAAAUUUCGAGAAAUAUCUCAAUCCAGGGACGGAAUAAUAUAACUUUUAUUGCUCUACAUUUACUAAGAAGUAAACCUGACCUGAAUAAUGCACCUGGAUGCAUCUAUAGCCCCCUGCAAGUGAGGUUCAAUAUGAGUAAAACUUAUAAAAAUUAUGAUGGAAAGAUAGCUGGGUUGUAUGACUUAGAAGAAACGUUGGGAAAAGGUCAUUUUGCUGUAGUAAAACUAGCUCGACAUGUAUUUACAGGAGAAAAAGUUGCUGUCAAAGUCAUCGACAAAAGUAAACUUGAUGACUUAUCAAGAGCUCAUCUUUUUCAAGAGGUUCGAUGCAUGAAGCUUGUUCAACAUCCAAACGUUGUUAGAUUAUACGAAGUAAUCGAUACUCAUACCAAAUUAUACUUAAUAUUAGAACUGGGUGAUGGUGGAGACUUGUAUGAUUACAUAAUGCGCUAUGAAGGGGGAUUGACUGAAGAGGUCGCACGAACAUAUUUUCGACAGAUUGUUAAAGCCAUUUCCUAUUGUCACCGUUUACAUGUAGUUCAUAGAGAUUUAAAACCAGAAAAUGUAGUUUUCUUCGAAAAAUCAGGGACGGUUAAACUUACUGAUUUUGGCUUCAGUAAUCGGUUUAGUCCUGGCCAAAAACUUGAAACAUCUUGUGGGUCCUUGGCUUACUCCGCUCCCGAAAUCCUUCUCGGUGACAGUUACGAUGCUCCAGCUGUAGAUGUGUGGUCUUUAGGAGUUAUUUUAUACAUGCUUGUAUGUGGUCAACUGCCGUUUCAAGAAGCAAAUGAUAGUGAAACAUUAACUAUGAUAAUGGACUGCAAAUAUUCGAUACCAAAGCAUGUAUCAGAGCAGUGUAAAAAGCUAAUAUCUAAAAUGUUAAUAAGAGAACCAGAUAAAAGAGCCAGCCUCGACGAAAUUGAAAAAGAUGACUGGUUAUCUAUUGCACAGAAUAAUGACUGUACAGAAGACAUACCUUUAGUGUCAAGAGAACAAGUUUCUGAAGAACAUCAUAAUUGUAUCAUUACUAAAAUGGUUAAUGGCAACAUAGCCACAAAAGAGGAAAUCAUUGAGGCACUAGAUAAAAAUGAAUAUAAUCACGUGACAGCAACUUAUUUUUUACUUGCAGAAAGAAAAUUAAAAACACAUUGUCAAGAAUUAUCAACAAAUGAACAUACAGAAACCUCACGUGCUAAUUUAAGGGUUAGUCAAAUGCCCGAUAUGAGUCAGCCGUUCUUAAGAGAUCACGUUUGUCCUACAAACUUUAUACAGGGAUCCAGUCAAUAUUUGCCGCUACACCGGCGAGCAACAACCGUAUUUAUAAACACAUGCGACCGGAAUACCGCUUGCAUUUUGACAGAAAUGACGUCAUCGCAAUCACCAAGCUAAGACGAAAAGCCAAACGGUGAGAGGCACUGAGAGAGGAAUGCACUAUCAGCGACAAGAGCACAGCAGCCAAUGUCAAUAUAGUGGCUUCUGACAGGCCCUACCCUUGGGAGCAAUGCUGCUAGCGAUGCAAAUAACCAGAACAUAGCCGACGGGCCCGUGAUAAUUCAAGACACCUGCUCUGUUCCUACUGUGGAAAAGACAGGGUUUUCUCCAUGAAAUGCUCAUGUAAGAAGCCAGAAAACAAAAAGAGGAGGGAUCACCAGAGAGUGCGACCCCUCUUUCAAAUUGAAGGACGGGCGAACGGCCAUUGCAGUGAAAAUAGACACAUGGAGAGUAACAGUACUCAUAGACACAAGCGCUGCAUUUUUCUUUAUUAACGAAGGCAUCGCAAGUCACUGCUGCAGGCAGAAAUGGCCUAUAAUCUGGAAUACCUGGCUGCAAGAAUAGCGGACGGCAAAUAAAUAAAUAUCGACAGUAGUAUGUAAAAAGUCAUGGAGAUCAUGAGACGGAAAGUUACCAACUCCUUUUUUGACACUCUGUGUGCGAAAUUUGAUUUCUGCUAGCUGCGUAGCAUGCGCGAAAUUCUGAAUUUCAUGCACAGCGUGCACGAAAUUCUGAAUUUCGCGCACGCUUAUUUGCUAAGAACGUAGAUUCGCACACUUGUGUCAAAAAACAGUAUACAAUACUCGUGUGCGUAGGUGAUCAUCACAUUCGCUUUUUUGUCGCUUUUUUGACAAAAUAAGCAUAAUAUACUGUUUCAUCUUAGCGUCUAUGCCUCACGAGGUGAUUCUGGGCAUCGAUAUUUUAUCAAGGAUGCAGUACAAGGCAUCCAUUUUCGGCCACCCUAUCAAUCCAGUUACAUCACUGCUACUCUAAAAAUGCGAACUAUGUUGAACCGAAGCCUUCGAGCGAAAAACCCGGAACAAUCAAGAAUUCUGGUGGAAUUCCUUAAAUAUGAACUAAAGAAAGUCAAAAACGUAACAAGAUGCACCCCACCGUUAAAAUAUCACAUAUAACUAAUAGAUCUUACACCAAUAAAACAAUGUUACCAACCACGUAAUCAAGCCAUGCAGAAGAUUAUCAACAACAAAGUAGAUAAGAGACUAAAAGAGAACGCCAUAGAGCUAUCCGACAGCGAAUGCUCGAUUACGUAAAUGUAGUAUCGUAAAAGAAGAAGAUGAAGAUUUAUCAUCUGGUAAAGAGGAUAAAUCAAUUAAUGCAAUCCUUACAUCUUUUAAUCGCCGC